UGGCCGGCUCUUAUUUUACCGUGAAGACUCGAAGAUCAAUCAUACACUUGGAUCACGGUCAACAACGGAUUGCUCGCGCCAUCUCUUGCCUUCUUCGUCCUGUUUAGCUGCACAGGCGCUAGCCCCCUCUUCCUACACGCGCACGCGGAAAAAAAAGAGCCACUCCCACCCGCCCGCACACGCGUGUGACAUCAUCUUAUAAGUCUCUGCUAAAGUUCACAUUUUGCUUCAUUGCUUUCACCGCUUACCGUAACCGGGCAUUUUUCUUUUACUCCACCUCACCUCCAACACCUCCAUUCCUUCACGCGACCUCCCCUGCCUUGUAUCUGCUUUCAUUCAUCUUCGGAUUCUUUUUCCAUACGCUUUUUCUUGCCCUCUUCUCCCUCACUCUUUUUCUUAUUGGGGGAGAGGGCUCGUGCGACUAGCCUUCUGCUGCACUGUGCUUGGCUACGCUACUUUUGCCCUCCUCUGCUCCUCUCCUGCACUCCAUUUUGCAAAUUCAUCGCGUGUUGCUUAUUUUCACGUGCUUCGCCUUUGUGUUUGUGCGCGACUCAGCCAACGAGCACGCGCCACCGCUUCAUUCUUUUUGUUUUCGUGGGGUGGCGAGGAGUGGAGAGGCUUGUACUUCGUGGCCUCGCGUAACUGUCAAGUUUUGAUCUGCUUGCAUCUGCGCUUUCUCUUGCCUUUGUUGUUAGGCCUCUGACUUCUGUGUGCGUCUCUUGUGCCGUUUGCUUAGUGAGGAGCACCUGACUCAAGCAGCUCACACCUGUUCGCCCUGUGCAUGGGCAUUCAUCUCCCCACUAUUGGUUACUUUCCCAGACAGCUGAAUCUCCCUCUCCAAGGUCACACGUCUCGAGUUCCUGCAGCCGUAGGGUUCCCCCAGACACCGUCCCCACUCUUACUCUGUGUCCUUGCAUCUGUGAGUAGGUUGCGAAGGAGUAGAGCAAGAGAGUGCUUUUGUUGGGUUGUUUGUGUGCGUCUUUUUUUUGUGCGUGUGUGCGCUUGUUGUGGAACUCCCAGCUUGUUAAGGGUUCAGGCGUUGGCGCAUGUUGUUGCUACCUUCUCUCCCUUUCUCCGACUUGGUUGACGAUUCCUGACUCUAUUGCUUGUUGCUGUUGGCUCGGGUUUUCUUCAUCUCCAUAUCUUGCCUCUCUCACUCAUCCCGGAGAGAGGGCGUAGACGUGCAUGCCAGUUGUGGAGGAGGGCGAGGGAGCGCAUUCACGGCCGACACUCUAUAGACGAGAGUGCAUUGGUGCCCAUCGCAUAGAGGAGUGCGCUGGAGUCCCUGACACCCCUCAUUCACCUCUGCUGUCUCCUCGUGCCGCGAGAGCCUUUCGCUCCGAUUUCAGCUGCUGCUGGGUAGCGGCAGCCAGCGGCGCGAACGCGUUAAACUUCCACCUGGUGUACACAUACAGACACGAAUUCAGAGCAGUACCCAAAUGGCGGCGGCCUCCUCCAACUGCCAAGGUGAGGGCUUGCAGCACUUUCACUCGAGGGGGCGAUCGCCUGCCUCCGAGCAUCUGGAGCUCAGGGAGGGCAUCUAUGACAAUAUCACUGGCCAGGUGAACGUGGUGAAAGAGGUGGAUAAGCUCAGGAAAGUGGGCGCGAUCGAUCGCAUAAACGAGGGUGAGGCUGUCAACAGCAAGUCCCUGCCGUACAGCGAUACAGUCACGCCGUCCAGCAGUGACCCCAACGUACUCAAAUUGCCGGCGCUCCAGCAGAACCGUCGCCUCGCAGUUGAUUUGGCGUUCGACGAUGACGCGCCGUCCGCAUGGGCACUCCUCCGUCGCGUCACGCACAACGUCUGGAUGUCUCUCAAGAUGACGCGGCUCUUUCUCUCUCUGGCGUGGGCGGAUAUCAAGACGCGUACCUGCAGCUACUGCCUCGGGUUCUUCUCUGUGCUCAUCGUUGUACUUCUGUGUGUGCUGAUGAUUUCCAUCCUGGUACACAUGCCGAUUUUGUUUCUCCGUCUUUCCGAGGAGACGCAUGGCGAGUUCGACCUCGUAAUCGGGCCCGGCAGUGUCAUGAGCAAGGCGACGGGCAUCAACUACACAAGAAUCAAAGAGCUGUUUCCGGAAAGCGACCCCAAUUAUGGAUACAGCGCCCCGCGCUUCUUGGACAUGUACAUGGCUCGCACCGCACGCUCCUGCCCUGACAAGAACGUGACGCAGAUGUGGUACAACGCGGACGGAAGUGUGUGCGACGACAUUGAUCUCUGCAUGAAUGGGUGCUUCUCCAACGGCACGGCCGCUGUGGACCUCAUGGCGAUUGACGCAACGGCGGAGGCGCGCAUGGGGUUUGGCAAGGACUACAAUGAGACUACGCUGAACGAAGGAGAGCUGAUCUUGUCGCACCGCGCAGCUGUUCUCAUGGGCGGGGUGGAUGUGGGCGACACGAUAAUCCUCUACGGAGACGCUCAGUUGAACAUUCAAUUCGCGUUCGCCAAUCUGACGCAUAACGAUUCGUCGAACGUCAUGAUGCCGUUCAAGGUCGUAUCCAUCAUUCACGAGUACUACCGCAAGUUCCCGGGUGUCGAUACCUUUGUUGUCGUGUCCUUCCAAACGUUCUUGCGCGAUGUAGCGAAGGGCCUGGCGCCGGGCACGUCCACCGCUGCUGUAGAGGGCGUCGCCAACACGAACCCGAGCGACUGCGCGUCUGCUGUGUACUUCAUCAUGAAUCCGGAGGCCCGACUGAAGGCAUACGGCCUCACAAGCUACAACAGCAUUCGGAGGAACGUGGUGGCGUGGGCUUCGGGGGUACUGUCGUCUCUCGGGUUCAUGCAGGUCAGCCGCUCCACACCGCAGCUGCGCGGCUUGUACGCGACACGGCUGUUCAGCGUCUUCGUUGGGCUAAUCAUGUCCGUCAUCCUCUUGGCGCUGGCGCUCCUCAGCGUUGUGCUGAUCUACACCCUUCUCACGGUCGGAAUCGAGACGAAGACGUAUGAGCUUGGUAUCCAGCGCAUGAUCGGCCUUACGAAGGAGAAUCUGAUCUUUUUGGUUCUCGCCAACGCGUAUGCCUUUACCUUGCCCGCGUGGGUCAUCGGCCUGGCUGCCGGACAAGGCACUUACACGGGGGCUCGGAUCGCUUUCGCGAAGCUCGUAGAGGUCCAGCUGCCCAUGUUGGUCACGAGGGCCUCUCUCGGGUGGGCCACGGUCGCCGGCCUCGGUAUCCCUAUUGUGGCCUCUUUCUUUCCGAUUCUCUCGCUCGUGACGCAGAGGCUUCCCGACGCGAUCAACACCUCGCGCGGCCGCAAUAGUGGCGUCAUAUACAAAAUCCAGCGCGACGACUCGACGCAGUGGAACGGGGCCAUGCUCGUCCUCGGCUUGCUCUUCUUUGCUUUCGGCUUCGUGAUCUACUACCUGUUCCCCACCGCGUUAAUCGCAAUGAACCUGAACUUGAUCUUCUACAUCUUCUUCGGCGUUCUCAUUGGUCUGCUCGCGGGGCUCGUACUGCUCGCGAUGAAUUUCGAGCGGGUGGCGCAGACGUGCAUCAGCUAUUUGCUGCUGUUCUGGGAGAGCAGGGCUGUCUUCUCGUUCAUGCAGAAGAGCCUCAGCGCGCACCGGCGCCGCAACCGAAAGACGUCGUUGAUGUACGCGCUUUCUCUCGCCUUUGUCAUUUUCAUUACGGUGGUGGUGCAGAUCCAGCUCGUGUCCUUCGAAUACUCCUCUCGCCAGCGCAUGGGCUGCGAACUGUAUGUAGAAACAAAGGGCCUGACAAUGGAAGAGUACUGGACCAUAGAGGAGAUUAUCGAACACCAGAUGGAGACCGGCAUAAUCUCUGCCUACACGUACGACUACAACAGCUCCGCUCUUACGUCCCUGAAAGGCGCGAGAAUCUACUCGAUUGGCCGCGUACGCAGCUCCGUCACAGUCCUAAAACCACUCCCUCCUAACUACUUCGAGGUCAUGGAUAGGACUUACCUGCACGUGGACAACUACCAGAGCAUCGUGGGCCGCUACGGGCUUGUGCGGGCCCUCUACAGUUCUGAAGGCCUCUACAGGGGGAUCUUGUCCUCUGGCGCGGCGGAUACCCUCGGCGUCGGCAGCGCGGACGGCGCCGUUUUGCUCGAGAUAAGAACGGUGCAAAACGCGACCUCAAACGCCGAGGCCGUUCGUCGGGCCACCAUCCGUCCUGUCGCCACGCUCGACACGGCCCCAGCCAUAACUACGUCCAAGUACACCCACGCACAAGGUGACAUCGUGCUGAGUAUCCCUGGACUCUUCCGGCAUCUUAACGAGUCGCGCGUAAGCGUCUUGAACGGAAACGUGGAGAAAAUUCGGCUGCGCAUGAGUGACCCGAACUGGUACGACUUCAUCGGUGACCUGCUGACCGGGAGCAUUGCCGCGGUGGGUCACACAGUGACUGUGACGAACAUUAGGGAUGCGACGAGCGACAUGGCCACGGCCGGCAAAGUGCUGAAUCUCUUCUUCAUUGUGGCCGAGAUAAUGAUUUUGGUCAUUUGCUUCUUUUCUCUGAUGAGCAGCAUGACGACAAACGUGCUCGACUCCUCCAAGGAGAUCGGCGUGCUGCUGUGCUUGGGCAUGUCCCAUUUCCAGGUGUACCGCGUGUACGUCUGGGAGGCCUUUGUCUUGGUCGUUUCGUCUGGCGUCAUGGGCCUCAUCGUCGGCCUUGUUGUUGCCUACACGAUGCAGCUGCAGAACAUCCUGUUCACGCAGCUGCCUCUGCCAUUCCCUUUUCCGUACAUCCAGCUGGCCAUUUUGGUCGUCAUGGGUCUUGUUUCAGCGCUGGCGUCCAGCAUCAGCCCGGUGGCGUACCUUUUAGGUCUUCCUUCUGUCACACACAUCCUGCGUCGUACCAUUCACUGAGAAGUCUUUGACACAUUAAUUUGGUAGGUAUCCGGAACAGGGGGGCUCGCAUACCCGCCUAAAGAGGCGUGCACGCUCACGGAUAGGGCCCUGCAUCCCUUUGCUCUUCCUCCCCGUUCUGCCACUUGUUGCACCCCUUCCCCUUCCCAUUGUCACCAGCCUGUUCCUCUCAAGGAUGCUGGUGUCAAGGAUGCACUAACAGGGCGAGUGGGGCGAUUCAAUGCGGAACUUUUGUUUUGUGUGUGUGCCAGCGUGUAUGAUUAGAGAAAACCAAUCAUGAGGCUCUCCGCCGCGUUGGCCGGCCACGAUGCCAGCGUCCAUUUUUGCAGGUGCCGUUUGCCACCAUCGCCGCCGCGCAGCCGGUCCCCUUUUCUCCCGUCCACAUUCAGAACGCCCUUUCUUUCACGUGCAUUAGGCAGGGCAUAUGUGUGCGGCCAUACUCUCCUCUUCUGGUCGAACAGGUUCUAGCAGACAGCGUCCGCUGGCACUGAUUUCAUUUCUUUGUGUGUGUGUGUGUGUGUGUAUGUGUGUUUUAUUAUUAUGUUUGGCGCAUUUUUUUUUCAUUAUUUCGUGUGUGCGUGCGUGUGACACUUUUCUGUGCGUCAUCGCUAUGUUCGCGUAUGCUGAUGUCUUUUACGAGUGUGUUGCUUGUCCCGGCAACACGCCCCAAUCGCCGCGUUUUGGUGUGUUAACACUUGAUAUUUGUGGACUCUGCCCCCCCCUCCUCCGUCCUCCUCCUCCCUCCCCACCAACCCUCUUCCUCAUUCCUUUCGUUCGUUCCCUUUUGUAUAUUUGUUCUCUGUCUUCACUUUUGUGGGAGUGAUGCUGUUGUAGUGGUGCUCUUGAUUGCGGGAAACCCAAACGAGCAGAAGGGGAGCCGAGUUCCUCACCAACCCCCCCCACACACACCAAAG
rnacentral:misc_RNA from 1 species